rnacentral:rRNA from 1 species
GAUGAACGCUAGCGGCAGGCUUAACACAUGCAAGUCGAGGGGCAGCAUGAGACGGAGAUUCGUCAAAGUCUUGAUGGCGACCGGCGCAAGGGUGCGUAACGCGUGAGCGACUUGCCCGUUUCUGGGGAAUAACCGGUGGAAACGCCGACUAAUACCCCAUGGUAUUGACUUUGGGCAUCCUUAGUCAAUUAAAGAAUUUCGGAAACGGAUAGGCUCGCGUGACAUUAGCUGGAUGGCGGGGUAACGGCCCACCAUGGCAACGAUGUCUAGGGGUUCUGAGAGGAAGGUCCCCCACACUGGAACUGAGACACGGUCCAGACUCCUACGGGAGGCAGCAGUGAGGAAUAUUGGUCAAUGGUCUGACGACUGAACCAGCCAUGCCGCGUGAAGGUCACGGCCCUAUGGGUCUUAAACUUCUUUUGUAAGGGAGCAAUAAGUCUCACGUGUGGGAUGAUGAGAGUACCUUACGAAUAAGCAUCGGCUAACUCCGU